rnacentral:tmRNA from 1 species
GGGGAUGUAAAGGUUUCGACGGGGAUGCAGAACUACGAUAAGCGAGUAGCGGCGGGACACCGCUAUAAAAGUUCCACCUUAAAAUAAACGACAAAAAAUUUGCUCCAGUAGCACAAUUAGCUGCUUAAUGCGGCUCGUCUGCCUGCCUUAACCGCGAAGGCAGGAUAAGGCGUCGAUUAGCGGUAAAUGUGAACAACCCACGCCUUUAAGUUGUCACAGAUAAAAGGCUACCAAAACACAAAACCUGUUAUUGGGUGUUGUGCAGAGGGAAUGUCAAUACAAUAACUGCACUCGGAGAAAGUCGUGGGGAAACAUUUUCGGACGCGAGUUCGAUUCUCGCCAUCUCCACCA